rnacentral:rRNA from 2 species
UGGGGAAUAUUGCACAAUGGGCGAAAGCCUGAUGCAGCAACGCCGCGUGAGCGAUGAAGGCCUUCGGGUCGUAAAGCUCUGUCCUCAAGGAAGAUAAUGACGGUACUUGAGGAGGAAGCCCCGGCUAACUACGUGCCAGCAGCCGCGGUAAUACGUAGGGGGCUAGCGUUAUCCGGAAUUACUGGGCGUAAAGGGUGCGUAGGUGGUUUCUUAAGUCAGAGGUGAAAGGCUACGGCUCAACCGUAGUAAGCCUUUGAAACUGGGAAACUUGAGUGCAGGAGAGGAGAGUGGAAUUCCUAGUGUAGCGGUGAAAUGCGUAGAUAUUAGGAGGAACACCAGUUGCGAAGGCGGCUCUCUGGACUGUAACUGACACUGAGGCACGAAAGCGUGGGGAGCAAACA